rnacentral:rRNA from 1 species
AGUGAACGCUGGCGGUAGGCCUAACACAUGCAAGUCGAACGGCAGCACAGUAAGAGCUUGCUCUUACGGGUGGCGAGUGGCGGACGGGUGAGGAAUACAUCGGAAUCUACUUUUUCGUGGGGGAUAACGUAGGGAAACUUACGCUAAUACCGCAUACGACCUACGGGUGAAAGCAGGGGAUCUUCGGACCUUGCGCGAUUGAAUGAGCCGAUGUCGGAUUAGCUAGUUGGCGGGGUAAAGGCCCACCAAGGCGACGAUCCGUAGCUGGUCUGAGAGGAUGAUCAGCCACAAUGGAACUGAGACACGGUCCAGACGCCUACGGGAGGCAGCAGUGGGGAAUAUUGGACAAUGGGCGCAAGCCUGAUCCAGCCAUACCGCGUGGGUGAAGAAGGCCUUCGGGUUGUAAAGCCCUUUUGUUGGGAAAGAAAAGCAGCAGGUUAAUACCCCGCUGUUCUGACGGUACCCAAAGAAUAAGCACCGGCUAACUUCGUG